GACGUGAGGGUGCGAGCGUUGUCCGGAUUUACUGGGCGUAAAGGGCGCGUAGGCGGCCACCGCAAGUCGACUGUGAAAUCUCCGGGCUUAACUCGGAAAGGUCAGCCGAUACUGCGGGGCUAGAGUGCAGAAGGGGCAACUGGAAUUCUCGGUGUAGCGGUGAAAUGCGUAGAUAGUCGAGAGGAACACCUGGCGGCGAAGGCGGGUUGCUGGGCU
rnacentral:rRNA from 1 species